GGAUUAGAUACCCUGGUAGUCCACGCCGUAAACGAUGGGUGCUAGCUGUCGGCAGGCAUGCUUGUCGGUGGCGCAGCUAACGCAUUAAGCACCCCGCCUGGGGAGUACGGUCGCAAGAUUAAAACUCAAAGGAAUUGACGGGGGCCCGCACAAGCGGUGGAGCAUGUGGUUUAAUUCGACGCAACGCGCAGAACCUUACCAACCCUUGACAUCCCGGUUUGGGGGAGCAGAGAUGCUCUCUUUCAGUUCGGCUGGACCGGUGACAGGUGCUGCAUGGCUGUCGUCAGCUCGUGCCG
rnacentral:rRNA from 1 species